rnacentral:rRNA from 1 species
CACGUAGGGGGCGAGCGUUGUCCGGAUUUAUUGGGCGUAAAGAGCUCGUAGGCGGCUCGAUGAGUCGGGUGUGAAAUUUCAGGGCUCAACCCUGAAACGCCACCCGAUACUGUCGUGGCUAGAGUCCGGUAGGGGAGCGUGGAAUUCCUAGUGUAGCGGUGAAAUGCGCAGAUAUUAGGAGGAACACCAGCGGCGAAGGCGGCGCUCUGGGCCGGUACUGACGCUGAGGAGCGAAAGCGUGGGGAGCAAACAGG